UCCAUGCCCUAAACGAUGGAUGCUAGCUAUUGGAAGAAUCGACCCUUCUAGUGGCGUAGCUAACGCGUUAAGCAUCCCGCCUGGGAAGUACGAUCGCAAGAUUAAAACUCAAAGGAAUAGACGGGGGCUCGCACAAGCGGUGGAGCAUGAGGUUUAAUUCGACGAUAAGCGAAGAACCUUACCAGGGCUUGAAAUCCUGUUGAAUUCUGGUAGAAAUAUCAGAAGUCUCGGUU
rnacentral:rRNA from 1 species